rnacentral:rRNA from 1 species
AUUGAACGCUGGCGGCAUGCUUUACACAUGCAAGUCGAACGGUAACAGGGUGCUUGCACCGCUGACGAGUGGCGAACGGGUGAGUAAUGCGUCGGAGCGUGCCGAGUAGUGGGGGAUAACGCAGCGAAAGUUGUGCUAAUACCGCAUACGUACUGAGGUAGAAAGUGGGGGACCUUCGGGCCUCACGCUAUUCGAGCGGCCGACGUCUGAUUAGCUAGUAGGUGAGGUAAAGGCUCACCUAGGCGACGAUCAGUAGCGGGUCUGAGAGGAUGAUCCGCCACACUGGGACUGAGACACGGCCCAGACUCCUACGGGAGGCAGCAGUGGGGAAUUUUGGACGAUGGGCGAAAGCCUGAUUCAGCCAUGCCGCGUGUCUGAAGAAGGCCUUCGGGUUGUAAAGGACUUUUGUCAGGGAGGAAAUCCCUAGUGCUAAUAACACUGGGGGAUGACAGUACCUGAAGAAUAAGCACCGGCUAACUACGUGCCAGCAGCCGCGGUAA